rnacentral:snRNA from 1 species
UCCUUUCCUACACCAACGGAGCUGAAGCCCAGACGUCCGCUGCUCGUUCAGCGUCGAUAUCUGCGUGCACUUCGAUAUCCCAAGGAGUCAUCAAGACAAUUUUGGUGUCGUUCCAUCGACAGGUCCUAGAUUGAUCGAUGCCUGCUGGGCCAUGUUCGCCGUCAAAAGCUGAGCUAGGUUCCGGCAGGACUUUCGAAGAGGUUACAUUCCACUCCCCUUUUCCAAGAUCGUCGAUCGAUGAGGUUGGGGCAAACCGUAACUCGCUACAUCU